rnacentral:rRNA from 1 species
UACGUAGGGGGCAAGGCGUUGUCCGGAUUUAUUGGGCGUAAAGAGCGUGUAGGCGGCCAUGCAGGUCCGUUGUGAAAACUCGAGGCUCAACCUCGAGACGCCGAUGGAAACCGCAUGGCUAGAGUCCGGAAGAGGAGAGUGGAAUUCCUGGUGUAGCGGUGAAAUGCGCAGAUAUCAGGAAGAACACCCGUGGCUAAGGCGGCUCUCUAGUACGGUACUGACGCUGAGACGCGAAAGCGUGGGGAGCGAACAGG